UCCAUCUCCCAUCACCAUUUUCUGUUGAAGGAAAUCUGGGUUCUUUCCAGCUUCUGGCUAUUAUAAAUAAGGCUACUAUGGAAAUAGUGGAGCUUGUGUUCUUGUUAUAUUUUGUAGCAUCGUUUGGGUCUAUGAGCAAGAGUAGUAUAUCCAGGUUGUCCAGUAGUACUACAUCCAAUUUAAUGAGGAACAUCCAGACUUCUUUCCAAAGUAUCUAUAUCAGUUUGCAUUUUCCCCAGCAAUGGAAGAGGAUCCUAUUUCUCCACAUCCUCUCCAGGAUCUCUUUUCACCUUAAGUUUUAUCUUAGCCAUUCUGACUGAUGAGAAGUGAAAUUUCAGGGUUGUUUUUAUUUGCAUUUCCCUGGUGAUUAAGGAUGUUGAACUUUAGGUGCUUCACAGCCAUUUGAUAUUCUUCAGUUGAGAAUUUGUUGUUUAGCUUGACCCCCAUUUGUUAAUACAGUUAUUGGAGUCUCUGGAGUUGUACUUCUUGAGUUAUUUGUGUAUGUUAAAUAUAAUUCCUCUAUCAGACAUAGGAUUGGUAAAGAUAUUUCCCCAAUAUUUUGGUUGCCAUUUUGUCCAAUUGACAAUAUUAUUUGCCUUACAGCAGCUUUCCAAAUUCAUGAGGUCCCAUUUGCUGGUUCUUGAUCUUAGAGCAUAAGCCAAUUAUGUUCUGUUCAGGACAUUUUCCCCACUGCUCAUGUGUUCGAGACUAUUCCCCUCUUUUUCUUCUAAUAGUUUGAGUGUAUCUGGUUUUUGUGAAGGUCAUUGUUCCACUUGGACUUCAGUUUGGACAGAGAGGUAAGAAUGGAUUAACUUGCCUUCUUCUAUAUGUUGACCUCCAGCGGAAACAACUCCAUUUGUUCAAAAUCCCAUCUUUUUUUCCAAAGGACAGUUUUGACUCCUUUUUCAAAGAUCAGGUGACCAUAGAUGUGGUGGGGAGGGUCAUUUCUGUGCCUUUAAUUCUAUUACCUUGAUCUACCUUCCUGUCUCUGUACCAAUACAAUAGAGCUUUUAUCAUGCUGCUCUGUAAUAUAGCUUGAAGUUAGGGAUUUCUAUAGAAAUAUUCUUUUAUUGUUCUUUUAUUGUUGAGAAAUAUUUUUACUAUCCUAAGUUUUAUUUUCCAAAUGAAUUUGUAAAUUUCUCUUUCUAAUGCUAUGAGGAAUUGAAUUGAAAUUUUGAUGGAGAUUGCAUUGAACCUGUAGAUUGCUUAAGGCAAAAUUUCCAUUUUUACUAAAUUAAUACUGAGAAUUUAUGAGCAUGGGAGGUCUUUCCAUUUCUGGGAUCUUUUUUGAUUUCUUUCUUCAGAGACUUAAAGUUUGUGUCAUACAGAUAUUUCACUUGCUUUGUUAGAGUCAUACAAUGUAUUUGAUAUAGUUUGUGAGUAUUGUGAAGGGUGUUAUUUCCCUAAUUUCCUUCUCAGACUGUUUAUCUUUGGAGUAGAGAAAGACUACUGAUCUGUUUGAGUUAAUUUUAUGUCCAACCACUCUGAUGAACAUGCUAAUCAGGGUUAGGAGUGCUCUGGUGAAUUUUUGGGGCCACUUAAGUAUAUGAUCAUACAUUCUGCAAAUAGUGAUAUUUUGACUUCUUACUUUCCAAUUCGAAUUCUUUUGAUUUCUAUUUGUUUUAUAGUAUUUCAAGUACUACAUUUAAUAGGUGGAGAAUGGGAAGCAUUUUCUACUCCCCAGUAGUAGUGGGAUUGCCACAAUUUUCUCUCCAGUAAGUUCAGAGUUGGCUACUGGCUUGCUAUAUAUUGCUUUUUACAACAUUCAAGUUUGGGCCUUAAACACCUGAUUAAUCCAAGACUUUUAUCAUGACAAAGUGUUGAAUGUGUCAAAUGGUUUCUCAGCGUCUAAUAAGACGAUUAUGCAGUCUUUUUGUUAGUGUAUUUAUAUAGUGUAUUAUGUUGAUGGAUGUAUACUGAAACAUCCCUGCAUCCCUGGUUUGAAGCCUACUUGAUCAUGAUGGAUGAUCCUUUUGAUUUGUACUGGGAUUCAGUUUACAAGAAUCUUACUAAGUAUUUUGUAUUGAAGUUCAUAAGGAAGAAUGGUUUGAAGUUCUCUUUCCUUGUUGCAUCUUUUGUAGUUUAGGUGUAACCAUAAAUGUGGCUUCAUAAACGAAUUGAGUAACAUUCUUUCAGUUUCUACUUUGUGGAAUAGAUUGAAAAGUAUUGGUAUUAGGUCUCCUUUGAAGGUAAGAUAGAAUUCUGCACUAAAUCCAUCUGGUCCUGAUCUUUUAUGGUUGGGAGACUUUAAUGACUUCUUUUAUUUCUGUAGUGGUUAUGGGACUGUUUAAAUGGUUUAUCUGAUCCUGAUCUAACUUUGUUACCAGAUAUCUGUCUAGGAAAUUAUCCAUUUCAUUUAGAUUUUCCAGUUUUGCUGAGUAUUGCCUUCUGAUUUUUUUUAAUUUCCUCAGUUUCUUUUGCUAUUUUUCCCUUUCCAUUUCUCAUUUGUUCAUUUUGAUAGGAUCCCUGUGCCCUCUGGUUAGUUUUGCUAAUGUUUUAUCUAUGUUAUUGAUUUUCUCAAAGAACCAUCUCCUGGUUUUGUUGAUUCUUUGAAUAGUCCUUUCUGUUUUACUUCAUUGAUUUUAGCUCUAAAUUUGAUUUUUUUUCCUGCUGUCUAUUCCUCUUUUGUGAAUUUGCCUCUUUUUUCUAGAGCUUUCAGGUGUUAUGUCAAGCCGUUAGUGUAUGCUCUCUGUAAUUUCUUUUCAGAGGCACUCAGAGCUAAGUGUUUUCCUCUUAGCACUUCUUUCAUUGUAUCCCAUAAGUUUGUGUAUGUUGUGCCUACAUUUUCAGUAAACUCAAAAAUGUCUUUAGUUUCUUUAUUUCUUCAUUGAUCAAAUUAUCAUUGAGUAGAGCAUUGUUCAACUUCCAUGUAUAUGUGGAAUUUCUGUUGUUUUUGUUCUUAUUGAAGACUAGCCUUAGUGCACGGUGAUCUGAUAGAAUGCAUGAGAUGGUUUCAAUAUACUUGUAUGAAAUGAGGCCUAUUCAGUGACCAAGUAUAUGGCCAAUUUUUGAGAAGGUACCAUGAGGUUCUGAGAAGAAGGUAUAUUCUAUGGUUUUUAAGAUGACAUGUUCUAUAGAUGUCUGUUGAAUUCAGUUGUUUCAUACUUUCUUUUCAAUUUCAUUGUGUCUCCGUUUAGUUCUGUUUGAAGAAACUGUCCAUUGAUGACAGUAUGGUGCUAAAGUCUCCUACUAUUAUUUUGUGUGUUGCAAUGUAUGAUUUGAUCUUUAGUAUAGCUUUUUUUUUAAUCAAUAUGAAUCCUCUGACAUGUGGAGCAACGAUGUUAAGUAUUGAGAGUUCAUCUUGGUGGAUUUUUCCUUCAAUCAAUAUGAAGUGACUUUCCUUACUUUUUUGGAUAACUUUUGCUUGAAAGUCGAUUAUAUUUGAUAUUAGAAUAGCUCCUGCAGCUUGUUUCAUGGGAUCAUUUGCUUUGAAAAAAAUUCUCAGCCUUUUAUUCUUAGGUGGUAUCUGUCUUGAGCUCUGGGCAGCAUUCCUGUUUACAUCAAAAUGCUGGGUCCAGUUUAAUUGUCCAGUCUAUUAGCCUAUGUUUUUUUAUUAUGAAAUUGAGUCCUUUGGUGUUAAGAGAUAUUAAGGAAUAGUGAUGAUUUCCUGUUAUUUUUGUUGUUAGAUGUGUACUUUUAUAUGUAUGGCUAUCUUCUUUUGGAUCUGUUGCAAAAACAUUAUUUCUUGAUUUUUCAAGGGUGUAGUUUUUUUCCUUUCUUUUGGAAUUUUCCAUCUAUUAUCCUUUGAAGGGCUGAAUUUGUGGAAAUAUAUUGUGUAAAUUUGGUUUUGUCAUGGAAUAUCUUGGUUUUGCCAUUUAUGUUAAUUGGGAGUUUUGCUGGGUGUCAUAGCAUGGGCUUCCAUUUGUGUUCUCUUAGAGUCUGAAUGACACCUUGCCAGUAUCUUCUAGCUUCCAUAGUCUCUGCUGAGAGUCUGGUGUAGUUAUGAUAGAUUUGCCUUCAUAUGUUUUUUGACUUUGUCCCCUACUGCUUUUAAUACAACUUCUUUGUUUUGUUUAUUUGGUGUUUUCUCUAUUAUGUGAUGUGGGAAUUUCUUUUCUGAUCCAAUUUGUUUGGAAUUCGAUAGGCUUCUUUUAUUUUCAUGGGCAUCUCUUUCUUUAGGUUAUGGAGUAUUCUUCUAUAAUUUUGUUGAAGAUAUUUCCUGGUCCUUUAACAUGGGAGUCUUUGUUUUCUUCUAUACCUAUUAUUCUUGAGUUUGAUGUUCUCAUGUGUCCUCCAUUUCUUGGAUGUUUUGGCUUAGGAUUUUUUUUUUACUUCUGGCAUUUUCUCUGACUAGAUUGUCAGAGUUUUAUACAGUAUCUACUGUCCCUGAAAUUCUCUCUUCAAUCUCUUGUAUUCUGUUGGUGAUGCUUGUGGCUGUGAUGACUGAUCUCUUUCCUAGAUUUUUAUUCUGCAGCUCCCAAGGCUGUAUAUUCCCAGCUAGUCCAUCAAUGGAGAGAAAGUGGUGUCCCACCUGUGGGCUAUGUGCUUAGGAAGGAGAGCACUGGCAGACCAACUCUCUGCAGAAAGGUUUUGUGUCUGAGUGCUGUGGAAUAACCACAACUCUGGGUGCAAUUUUUUUUCUUUUCUAGUAAAAUGUAUGAAUAUAUCAAGCAAUAUAUGCCCCAAAACUCCUAAAGGUAUCAAAUCUCUUCAUUCUGUUAAAUCUAAAUUCAUAUGAUGAUACUGUAAGAACAUAUCAGUUUACUAAUUCUAAUUUGCUGGUAUUUACCUUUCCAGUAAAAUAGCGAAAAUGUUAUUAUAGUUUAUUUCAUUAUUGGAUAUCAAUAUAGAUUUAAAUUUACGUAAAGUAUUCAUUAAUUUCUAUGUGGAAAAUACCAUAAAUAACUGAGGUGAAAUCAUCAUAUGGCAAACAAUUUAAUCACAUGAAGUAAAUUUCUUUGAUUUAUUAAUAUUUUCACUCUAUUCCUUCAUUGCUACCUCAAGGAAAGUGUCUUCAUAAUGUACUUUCUAUAUUCCUUAACUUGCAUCCCAAACCUACCUAGUAAAGUUUUUAUUUGUUCUUUUUUGUAUUUCUGUGUUAGAAAUAGUUAGUUAUUAUUUUGUAUUUGAUUGAUUGUUUGUUUAUCUGUUGUAUUAGUUACUGUGGAGAAAAAACUGGCAACACCUGAUGUCUGUGUGACUCAGUGGAUCAUAUGCUAGAAUUACAAAAAAUGGUCAAAACUUCAACACACAUUAUUAUUGGAAACAAAAAGUAUGAGUAUUAAAAGUAUUUGAAGAAAUGGAUUUAAAGUUAGAGAUUUUUAUGAAAAAUUGAUGUUUUUCAAAAUAAUUUAAUCUGAUUAUAGUUGUUCUCACUCUACUAGUCCCAGUCUCUGUCCACAGGCAAUUCUAUUGCUAUAAAACUUUUUGAAGAUCUACAAACAAAUUAAAACGAAAUACAAAAUUGUAGUAAGAUUUUAAAAAAAGCUAAUACAAUGGAAAUGGACAAAGCAAAUGAGCAGAAGAAAAGAAGUCCAAAAAAAAAAAAAAAAGCACAGGAGGAAGAGACACAAUCACUCACACAUUCUAGUACUGUAUAAUAAUGCUCAAAUGAAAGCCAUAAUAUGUAGGCAGAAGACCAAGAAGAGACACUCUGAGAAUUCAUAUGAGCUCAGAUUAUAUUGUUUAGGUAGCUUUGUUUUCUUGGAGUUUCCCAUGUGCUCAGCCUAUUGCACAUGUUUUUCUUCUUCAGGGUUACCUCAUCACUGAAAGGAUGGAUUUGAUGUGGUCAUUAACUUCAGGGCUUUGUGCACCAAGAACUAUCACUCUGUACAAUUUGUAACACUGUAGGUGUCUGUACUUUUUCCUAACUUAAGAAGUGAGUCUUAAUUCAAAUUAGAUAUUACUUGGCUACUGACAAAUGCUUUGUUUCACCAUUGUAGUAGCAUCUCUUUCAGACAGGAUAUGUUAUUGUAGAUCAAAAUAUUUGUGGCUUGCUUGGUGUAUACAUUUUUGUUCAGUAGUGUGUAGAAUACAAUCUUCACCCAAAGGCCAUAGAACAUGUGUGGAAAGUGGAGGUGGACUCUAAGUAGAUACGAACUCAACUUCUCAUUUUUCCAUGAGUUUGUAGGAGUAAGCCAUUCCUCAUAUGGGAAACUCCAUUUGCUAACAGAGAUUUUCAGUUGUAGCUCUGUCUUCCAUAUCAUUUGGCACUGUCAUUUAAAUUGGAUUCAUAUAUGCAUAUAUUAACGAAUAGUCCCUAUUUAUUUACAUACUAAUCCUCAAAGGCCUUUCAUUUUAACACUCUAUAAUGAUUUCCCCUCCUCCAUUUACUUCUCCACUUCACUCCUUUUUAUCCUGCUUCCAAUCCCCAUUCUGACACUCCAUAUCAAUCGAUUUAAUUUCCCUUUCCUUAGGAGACAUAUCUGUCACUUCUACUCCCUUACUCUAAAGCCAAUCUGGUUUUACACAUUAGAGUUUGUUUAUCAGUGACAUGUAGCUAUUAUUCACAAAUAAGCAAAUACAUAUCAUAUUUAUCUUUUGGGGACUGUGUUUCAUCAUUCAGUAUAAAGGUUACUAGUUCCAUUCAUUUAAUUGUGGUUUUCAUUAUUUCAUUUCUUUUAAAAUAUGAAUUUUUAAACAAGAAAAAGUAGGUGGAAAUUACAAUGUUAACUCUUAUCUGCAAUUCUUCUUAAACAGGGAGGAAGCAGUAUGUAAAGCCACUUUGGAUUAUGCUAGUCAGGAGAAACCUUGGACUCUGUAUUGAAGACCAACAAAAGAUUAGUUGUAAAAUCAUGGGAAAAUUGGACAAAGGAAAAAACAAUUUCUGAGAAAUCAGAUAAAUAAUUGAAAUCAUUUCAUAUUAUAGGAAUGAGCAAUAGGACAGUACAAAUCAAAUCUGAUGAUUAUUAAUAUUUUUAAAACCACUGAGACAUACAGGUAUAGAUAACAGUAGCUUGCAUGCCUAGUGUGUUACAGUUCCUGAAACAAAUUCCUAGUGAUUCAGUGAAAAGUAAGUUUGAGACACAGUGAGUGAGUAGAAAAGGUGAAAUGAACUCCAGUCAAAACAAAUGACCAAAGUUUCUUACUGCUGUGGAACAGAAACCAUGACCAAGGCAACACUUAUAAAGACAGCAUUUAAUUGGGGCUGGCUUAUAGGUUCAGAAGUUAAGUCCAAAAUCAUGAAGGCAGGAACACAACAGCAUCCAGGCAGGCAUUGUACAGGAGGAGCUGAGAUUUUUACAUCUUCAACUGAAGGCUGUUAGCAGAAAAUUGGUUUACAGGCAACUAGGAUGCGGGUCUUAAGGCUCACACCCACAGUGACACACUUACUCCAACACCACCUCCCCUACUCCAAAAUGGCCACACCUUCUCAUAGCUCCAUUCCAUAUGUCAAACAUAUACAAACCGUCACUUCGACUCAUGGGCCUGUAUAGCCAUAUUUAAACAUAUGAGUCUGUGAGGACCAUACCUAAACAAAGCAUAAUGUGAAAUAAAUUUUGUCUGUAUUUAUUUUUGGUUUUUAAAAAUUAAUUUAUUUAUUUUAUUGGAUAUUUUAAAUAUUUAUAUUUCAAAUGUUCUCCCCAUUUCCCCUAUCCUGUUCCCCCUCUUCCCUCCCCCUGCUUCAAUGCUCCCAUUCCCACCCAUUCACUCCCACCUCAACAUCUGUCAUUCUCCUAAACUGGAGAUACAAAACUUCACAGGACCAAGGGUUUGUCCUCCUAUUGAUACCAGAUAAUGCCAUUUUCUGUUACAUAUAUGGCUGGAGCCUCCAUAUGUACACUUUGUCUGGUGGUUUAGUGUCUGGGAUCUGUGGUGGUCUGGUUGGUUGAUAUUAUUGUUCUUUCUACAAGGUUGCAAAACUAUUCUGCUCCUUAAGCCAUUUCACUAACUACCCUUUUGGGGUUCCCAUGCUCAGUCCAAUGGUUUGCUGAAAGAGUCCCCAUCUGUAUCAAUAAGUCUCUGGCAGAGCUUCUCAAUAGACACCCAUAUCAAGUUCAUAUCAGCAAGUACUUCUUGGCAUCAGCAAUAGUGACUGGACUUGGAGGCAGCAUAUGGGAUGAAUCUCCAGGUGAGGCAGCUACUGGAUGACCUUUCCUUCAGUUCCUGCUUCACUUUAACACUUUCAGCAAUCUAUAGCAGACUCAACAAUGUUAAAAGUCCAAAUUCCAAAGUCUCUUCUGCGAUUCAUCUAGUCACUUAACUGUAGUCCUCAAAGCAACACAGAGAAACCAAUUGUGCAAACUCCAAACUCUGCAUCUCAAUGACUGAUAUCAAAGUAGUCUUCAGAUCUCCAACUCCUUUUUAAUCUUUAUUGACUGCAACAAAUGUCUUUCUCCUGUACUGAUUUCACUCUCUGUUAUCUGCUUUCCUCAGCAGACAAUCCAUGGCUCUGGCAUCUGAAAUAUCUCGGGCUUUCCAAGGCAGUGUCUUCUACAAAGUUUGCUGAGCCAUGGAGGAGGAAUUUAGAUGGCAAUAUGUGAUUUAUGACAGAAUUAUCCAAGUUCAUUCAUGCUGUACACUGUCCAGCUGAAGAACCAGUGGAGGACCAGUGGAGGGAAAAUGAUUAAUCACUGAUGAAGACUGGGUCAAGAGAGAUCAGAGUGGUGGCAAGGACUGCUGAGAUAUAUAACCAGUCUGAAGACUGAGGUGAAUUCUGGACCCAUGGGAAAGGAUUAUGUCCGAGUCCUCAUAGCAUGGAAGUAUGAAUAAAUUUUCCAAUCCAUGAACAUUGUCGAGAAGGAGUGAAUACUCCAGUUAGUCACCAACUUAACUUCUUCAUGUUCAAUGAGAUAGAAUGUGACACUGUCUCACAAAUUCCAAAAAUUAAACAGAAUAUGAACAAAAAUAGAAAUAAAAUAAAGGAGCGAAGGAGGAGGAAUCAGAGGAGAAAAAGGAGGAAGAGGAUAAAAAGAGGACUCCACUAAUGAGAGAAAACGAAAAGCUCAUAAAAUGUGCUCUCAGUUUUCUCCCAAGACAAAGAUUCAUGAGAGGUGAAGGGAGAGUAUUAAUAGAGAAUUUGCAUUUACAACUGAGUUACCAAAUUUCUCUUAAUAUCUACACAAUGUUCAGGAAUUAUGAAUAAAUUUUCCAAUCCAUGAACACCAUCUAGAAGGGGUGAAUACUCCAGUUAGUCCCCAACUUAAGUUCUUCAUGUUCAAUGAGAUAGAUUAGGGUGAGCCCUGGCAGCAGACAAGAAAAUGAACUCAUCUCUCAUAGUGGCCAUUGUACCGCAAUCCAGGUAGAGACACUUGUCGUUCUGACAUCAUCUUGGAGAUCUUGUGCCAGAUGUCUCUUUGGUGAAGAACUGCAGCUUCGAUGGCACUGUGGGUCUACAGUUUUACCAGGGUCCACGCGUCUAUUUGGCCUUGAAGUUCUCUGUUACCUUCGAAAAUGCCACUAACAAAACUGCAUUGUCUCAUUUAUUACAACUGAGCCAAUAUCCAGAGACCUGGAGAGAGUCUUUGCCAACAUCAUUCAGGUUGGAUUGUACACACAAGGAACAACACCACCCAGAAGAUAGAGGCAGAAAAAUAUGAAUCUCAAGAAAUCUAUGGAUUUCUCUGGACAGUCUGAAUCCAUAUCAGAGGAAAGGUGAUAUAUGUUCUGUGCUGUUGUAUGCUAGAUAGAAGCAAAAGGAUUAUGAAAGUUUGAAGACAGCCCCGGCAUGAGACAUUAUCUCACAACUUUCAAAUAUAAAAAAAAAAGUAAUAAACAAAUGAAGAAAUUAAGUAAUGUGGAAGAAGGAGGAAGAGGAGAGUACUGUAAUAAGCAGAGAGAACCUCAUAGGAAGAAAAGCAGUGUCAACUCACCAGACUCCCCAGAGUUCCCAGAGACUAAGCCAAAAAACCAGGAGACCUCAUGGGCUCAUUUGUGGUCUCAGGGACAUGAGACACAGAGAUCUGCUUUGUAUGUACUCCUUGGGAAAUGAUGUGCUAAAUCCCGUUGAACUUUGAUGCCAGAAGGAAGAGGAUGCUUUCAUCACAAAUGCAGAUAUGCUAUACACACAAGGAACAACAGAACCCAGGAGUUGAUGAUGAUGAUGAUUAUGAUGAUGAUGAUGAUGAUGAUGAUGAUGAUGAUGUUGCUCAGACUCUUUCAAAUGAACCAGAAAAUAUAAGUGGAUCACAGAAUGUGACACUGUCUCACAAAUUGCAAAAAUUAAACAGAAUAUGAACAAAAAUAGAAAUAAAAUAAAGGAGAAAAGGAGGAGGAAUCAGAGGAGAAAAAGGAGGAAGAGGAUAAAAGGAGGACACCACUAAUCAGAGAAAAUGAAAAGUUCAUAAAAUGUGCUCUCAGUUUUCUCCCAAGAAAAAGAUUCAUGAGAGGUGAAGGGAGAGUAUUAAUAGAGAAUUUGCAUUUACAACUGAGUUAUCAAAUUUCUCUUAAUCUCUACACAGUCUUCAGGAAGUAUGAAUAAAUUUUCCAAUCCAUGAACACCAUCUAGAAGGGGUGAAUACUCCAGUUAGUCACCAGCUUAACUUCUUCAUGUUCAAUGAGAUAGAUUAAGGUGAGCCCUGGCAGUAGGCAAGAAAAUGACAUCAUCUCUCAUAGUGGCCAUCGUACUGCAAUCCAGGUAGAGACACUUGUCGUUCUGACAUCAUCUUGGAGAUCUUGUGCCAGGUUGUAUUGCACACACGGAACAACACCACCCAGGAGGUAGAGGCAGAAAAAUAUGAAUCUCAAGACCAUCCUAUGGAUUUCUCUGGACAGUCUGAGUCCAUAUCUGAGGAAAGGUGAUAUAUGUUCUGUGCUGUUGUAUGCUAGAACCUCAUAGGAAGAAAAGCAGUGUCAACUCACCAGACUCCCCAGAGUUCCCAGAGACUACGCCAAAAAACAAGGAGCCCUCAUGGGCUCAUUUGUGGUCUCAGGUACAUGAGUCUCAGAGAUCGGCCUUGUAUGUAGUCCUUGGGAAAGAAUGUGCUAAAUCCCGUUGAACUUUGAUGCCAAAAGGAAGAGGAUGCUUUCAUCAUAAAUGCCGAUAUGCUAUACACACAAGGAACAACAGAACCCAGGAGGGACUGAAUUUUUCAAAUAUGAAAAUAUAGACAGAAGGUACCAUGCUGUAACCUGUAAUUCCACACUGAGAGAGAUGAACUGGGACUACCCGUCUGAGUACACUUUGGAUUAAACUAGUGAGAAGGAAACCUAGGCUGCAGUUUGGGAGGAUGCAUCACAAAUCACCAAAAGAAAAUGUGACACUGUCUCACAAAUUCCAAAAAUUAAACAGAAUAUGAACAAAACUAGAAAUAAAAUAAAGGAGAAAAGGAGGAGGAAUCAGAGGAGAAAAAGGAGGAAGAGGAUAAAAGGAGGACUCCACUAAUCAGAGAAAACGAAAAGCUCAUAAAAUGAAGUACGAAUAAAUUUUCCAAUCCAUGAACACUAUCUGGAAGGGGUGAAUACUCCAGUUAGUCACCAACUUAACUUCUUCAUGUUCAAUGCGAUAGAAUGUGACACUGUCUCACAAAUUCAAAAAUUAAACAGAAUAUGAACAAAACUAGAAAUAAAAUAAAGGAGAAAAGGAGGAGGAUUCAGAGGAGAACAAGGAGGAAGAAGAUAAAAGGAGGACUCCACUAAUCAGAGAAAAUGAAAAGCUCAUAAAAUGAAGUAUGAAUAAAUUUUCCAAUCCAUGAACACUCUCUAGAAGGGGUGAAUACUCCCGUUAGUCACCAACUUAACUUCUUCAUGUUCAAUGAGAUAGGGAUCUGUUUCUGAAAACAUGACAGAAGAGACUAAUGGUUCAAGUGCAACUCAUUGGCUGCAAGGUUCCCCAGUAUGGGGCAUGUGCAAAUAGCAUAGGAUGAUAGACAAGAUCAGCAGCACCAAUGGGUUGGAGACAGCUCUAGCCCGAAUGUCCAACUGUAUAUGUGCUACAGAGGAAGAGCUAGAGAAGUUAUGGAGAUCUUUAACAGAUGCCAGAAAAAGUUGGAUUAUACACACAAGGAACAACACCACCCAGGAGAAAGAGGCAGAAAAAUAUGAAUCUCAAGACCAUCCUAUGGAUUUCUCUGGACAGUCUGAAUCCAUAUCAGAGGAAAGGUGAUAUAUGUUCUGUGCUGUUGUAUGCUGUAAGAAUUUAAUUGCUUUUCAUUUUAUAGCAGUUACAUUGAAUGUAUUGAGUUGAGGUCCAGAAAAUGCUUUCAACUUUUAAACAAUAUCCAUUCUAUGAAAGAUGAUAGGGUCUUUUAAAAUUGUAUAAUAUAUGAUAGUAUUGUGAUUUGGUGGUAAGACUGUGUUGACAAGAUUCAGAACACAGUGGUUUGAGUGAGAUGCACAAUAUUACUUUCAAAUUUUCAAAUACCUGAGUCCAUGUCUAUGGCUGUUUGGGGAAGAUUAGGAGAUACAACAUUGCUGUGCAAAAAAUAUCCCUGGAGAUAGCAUUCUAUCAUUCAAAUAUCCCAUGAUGUUUCAAAUAGCCCUCUUUUCUUCUUCUUUGAAAUAUGAACUACUACUUCAGCAACCUACUGCUUGCCAUCCAAGAUACAGAAAGUUGAGAAAAAAUCUUUCCUAUUACAAUUUUAAUAUUAUUAAUAUAUUUGGUUGUUGUUAUUAAAGGAUUCCAAAACAUAAUCCUGGCUAUAGUUAAAAACAAUACUGUCUCUCUGUCUAUGCCUCUCAGGUAUUACAUCUAAAGGCAUAUACCAAAUAGACUGGACUUUCUGCACAAAAAAUUUAUUUUUAAAAGUAAAUAAUAAUCAAAAUUAAACAUACAUUUUAAAAUGAAAUUAAAAACAUUCCUGGUAAAUUGUCUCACAUCUUUCAUCAUGUCAUCCUAGAGAUGGAAGCAAAAGGAUUAUUAAAGUUUAAAGACAGCCCAGGCAUGAGACAUUAUCUCACAACUUUCAAAUAUAAAAAAAGUAAUAAACAAAUGAAGAAAUUAAGUGAUGUGGAAGAAGGAGGAAGAGGAGAGGACUGUAAUAAGCAGAGGAAGUAUAACUGAAUUUUCCAAUCCAUGAACAUUGUCAAGAAGGAGUGAAUACUCCAGUAAGUCACCUACUUAACUUCUUCAUGUUCAAUGAGAUAGCUGGAAAAAGCUGAGGAUGAGGAGGACCACCCUGUAGAGGGUAUAGUAGUCUCAAUUAACCUGGACCCCCAAGAUCUCUCAAACACCAGAACACCAGACAGCAUACAGCAGCUGACAAGAGGGAUUGAUUUCUGAAAACAUGACAGAAGAGACUAAUGGUUCAAGUGCAACUCAUUGGCUGCAAGGUUCCCCAGUAUGGGGCAUGUGCAAAUAGCAUAGGAUGAUAGACAAGAUCAGCAGCACCAAUGGGUUGGAGACAGCUCUAGCCCGAAUGUCCAACUGUAUAUGUGCUACAGAGGAAGAGCUAGAGAAGUUAUGGAGAUCUUUAACAGAUGCCAGAAAAAAGUUGGAUUAUACACACAAGGAACAACACCACCCAGGAGAAAGAGGCAGAAAAAUAUGAAUCUCAAGACCAUCCUAUGGAUUUCUCUGGACAGUCUGAAUCCAUAUCAGAGGAAAGAGAACUUCAUAGGAAGAAAAGCAGUGUCAACUCACCAGACUCCCCAGAGUUCCCAAAGACUACGCCAAAAAACAAGGAGCCUCAUGGGCUCAUUUGUGGUCUCAGGGACAUGAGUCUCAGAGAUCUGCCUUGUAUGUACUCCUUGGGAAAGGAUGUGCUAAAUCCCGUUGAACUUUGAUGCCAAAAGGAAGAGGAUGCUUUCAUCACAAAUGCCGAUAUACUAUACACACAAGGAACAACAGAUCCCAGGAGAAUGAGACACUGUUUCACAAGUUCCAAAAAAUAAAGGGAUAUGAAUAAAAACAGAAAUUAAAUAAAGGAGAAAAGCAAGAGGAGACAGAGGAGAAAAAAGUGGAGUAAGGGAAAAGGAGGACUCCAUUAAUCAGAGACAAUGGAAAGCUCACAAAAAGAAGUAUGAAUAAAUUUUCCAAUCCAUGAACACUAUCUGGAAGGGGUGAAUACUCCAGUUAGUCACCAACUUAACUUCUUCAUGUUCAAUGCGAUAGAAUGUGACACUGUCUCACAAAUUCCAAAAAUUAAACAGAAUAUGAACAAAACUAGAAAUAAAAUAAAGGAGAAAAAGAGGAGGAAUCAGAGGAGAACAAGGAGGAAGAAGAUAAAAGGAGGACUCCACUAAUCAGAGAAAAUGAAAAGCUCAUAAAAUGAAGUAUGAAUAAAUUUUCCAAUCCAUGAACACUCUCUAGAAGGGGUGAAUACUCCCGUUAGUCACCAACUUAACUUCUUCAUGUUCAAUGAGAUAGAGAACUUCAUAGGAAGAAAAGCAGUGUCAACUCACCAGACUCCCCAGAGUUCCCAAAGACUACGCCAAAAAACAAGGAGCCUCAUGGGCUCAUUUGUGGUCUCAGGGACAUGAGUCUCAGAGAUCUGCCUUGUAUGUACUCCUUGGGAAAGGAUGUGCUAAAUCCCGUUGAACUUUGAUGCCAAAAGGAAGAGGAUGCUUUCAUCACAAAUGCCGAUAUACUAUACACACAAGGAACAACAGAUCCCAGGAGGUAUGUGUCUGCCUUUGUUGCCAUCAAUAAGAGAGAGUAGCUUCUGUGAUCAUGGCUGAGCAAUAUAUUAUUUAAAGGAAGUAUGAAUAAAUUUUCCAAUCCAUAAACACUGUCAAGAAGGUGUGAGUACUCCAGUUAGUCAGCAACUUAACUUCUUUGUGUUCAAUGAGAUAGAAUGUGACACUGUCUCACAAAUUCCAAAAAUUAAACAGAAUAUGAACAAAACUAGAAAUAAAAUAAAGGAGAAAAGGAGGAGGAAUCAGAGGAGAAAAAGGAGGAAGAGGAUAAAAGGAGGACUCCACUAAUCAGAGAAAAUGAAAAGCUCAUAAAAUGAAGUAUGAAUAAAUUUUCCAAUCCAUGAACACUAUAUGGAAGGGGUGAAUACUCCAGUUAGUCACCAACUUAAUUUCUUCAUGUUCAAUGAGAUAGGGAUUGAUUUCUGAAAACAUGACAGAAGAAACUAAUGGUUCAAGUGCAACUCAUUGGCUGCAAGGUUACCCAGUAUGGGGCAUGUGCAAAUAGCAUAGGAUGAUAGACAAGAUCAGCAGCACCAAUGGUUUGGAGACAGCUCUAGCCCGAAUGUCCAACUGUAUAUGUGCUACAGAGGAAGAGCUAGAGAAGUUAUGGAGAUCUUUAACAGAUGCCAGAAAAAAGUUGGAUUGUACACACAAGGAACAACACCACCCAGGAGAUAGAGGCAGAAAAAUAUGAAUCUCAAGAAAUCUAUGGAUUUAUCUGGACAGUCUGAAUCCAUAAAGAGGAAAGGUGAUAUAUGUUCUGUGCUGUUUUAUGCUAGAACCUCAUAGGAAGAAAAGCAGUGUCAACUCACCAGACUCCCCAGAAUUCCCAGAGACUAUGCCAAAAAACAAGGAGACCUCAUGGGCUCAUUUGUGGUCUCAGGGACAUGAGUCUCAGAGAUCUGCCUUGUAUGUACUCCUUGGGAAAUGAUGUGCUAAAUCCCGUUGAACUUUGAUGCCAAAAGGAAGAGGAUGCUUUCAUCACAAAUGCCGAUAUGCUAUACACACAAGGAACAACAGAACCCAGGAGGAUGUAUAAAUAAAUUUUCCAAUCCAUGAACAUUGUCGAGAAGGAGUGAAUACUCCAGUUAGUCACCUAAUUAACUUCUUCAUGUUCAAUGAGAUAGGUGCUCUCAGUUUUCUCCCAAGAAAAAGAUCCAUGAGAGAUGAAGGGAGAGUAUUAAUAGAGAAUUUGCAUUUACAACUGAGUUACCAAAUUUCUCUUAAUCUCUACACAGUGUUCAGGAAUUAUGAAUAAAUUUUCCAAUCCAUGAACACCAUCUAGAAGGGGUGAAUACUCCAGUUGGUCACCAACUUAAGUUCUUCAUGUUCAAUGAGAUAGAGAACCUCAUAGGAAGAAAAGCAGUGUCAACUCACCAGACUCCCCAGAGUUCCCAGAGACUACGCCAAAAAACAAGGAGCCCUCAUGGGCUCAUUUGUGGUCUCAGGGACAUGAGUCUCAGAGAUCUGCCUUGUAUGUACUCCUUGGGAAAGAAUGUGCUAAAUCCCGUUGAACUUUGAUGCCAAAAGGAAGAGGAUGCUUUCAUCAUAAAUGCCGAUAUGCUAUACACACAAGGAACAACAGAACCCAGGAGGCAUCUGAGCUAUGUCAAGAAUGUGUCUCAUGGACUAGGAAGUAUGAAUAAAUUUUCCAAUCCAUGAACAUUGUCGAGAAGGAGUGAAUACUCCAGUAAGUCACCUACUUAACUUCUUCAUGUUCAAUGAGAUAGAAUGUGACACUGUCUCACAAAUUCCAAAAAUUAAACAGAAUAUGAAUAAAAGUAGAAAUAAAAGAAGGAGAAAAUGAGGAGGAAUCAGAGGUGAACAAGGAGGAAGAAGAUAAAAGGAGGACUCCACUAAUCAGAGAAAUUGAAAAGCUCAUAAAAUGAAAUAUGAAUAAAUUUUCCAAUCCAUGAACACUAUCUAGAAGGGGUGUAUACUCCCGUUAGUCACCAACUUAACUUCUUCAUGUUCAAUGAGAUAGAUUAGGGCGAGCCCUGGCAACAGGCAAGAAAAUGACCUCAUCUCUCAUAGUGGCCAUUGUACCGCAAUCCAGGUAGAGACACUUGUCGUUCUGACAUCAUCUUGGAGAUCUUGUGCCAGGGUGGAUUGUACACACAAGGAAAAACACCACCCAGGAGAUAGAGGCAGAAAAAUAUGAAUCUCAAGACCAUCCUAUGGAUUUCUCUGGACAGUCUGAAUCCAUAUCAGAGGAAAGGUGAUAUAUGUCUGUGCUGUUGUAUGCUUUUCCUGCCACAAGUCACCGAUGGCAUCCCCUCUCCUCCCUGCUUCUGUGAGCAUGCUUGAACAUCCACCAGAUCAAUCCUGCCUCACCACCCUAGCAUUCCCCUAUGCUAGUGCAUUGAUCCUUCACUAAACUAAGGGCCUCCCCUCCCACUGAUGCUACCUAAGGCCAUCCUCUGAUACAUUUGCGGCUUGGUGCUCUGGGUCCUUCACUGUGUACUGUUUGGUUCGUGUUUAGUCCCUGGGAGCUCUAGGAGGUCUGGUUAGCUGCUAUCGUGGUUUUUCCUAUGGUGUUGCAAACCUCUUCAGAUCCUUCAGUCCUUCCCCUAAAUCCUCCAUUGGGUCCCAGUGCUCAGUCCAACUGUUGGCUGAAAGCGUCCGCAUCGGUAUUGGUCAAACUCUGGCAGAGGCUCUCCUGAGACAGCUAUAUCAGGCUCUUGUCAGCAAGCACUUAUUGGCAUCAGUGAUAGUGUCGGCUUGGUGGCAGCACAUGGGAAGUAGCCCUAGACUUUUCACAAGCUUGGCAAUUAAUCUACCGUGGUCACAUUUCCAAAAUAAUGACACCUGCUCACCCAGCAACUAUCAAUGUUAAUGCCCUACGACUGAACUAUAGGUUAAAUUGCACACACAAGGAACAACAGCACAGUGGACAUAGAGGCAUAAAAAUACCAAGCUCAAGGUCAUCCAAAGCACUUCUCUCGACAGCCUGUGUUCCUUUCAGAGGAAAGGUAAUAUGUGCUCUCUGCAAUUUUUCACUCGAUAUAUGUAACUUGCGUUUGAUUUUACAGGAAUCACAUUAAAAGUACUGACCUGAGUCUCAGAAGACAUUUCUAACUUUUAAACAAAAUUUAUUCUAUGAUAGAUAAUGUAGUUUUAAAAUUGUACAUUAUACAUUUUUAUUAUGGUUUGGUUGUGAGUGGUUUGAAUGAGAUGUCUCCAAUUUCAAGUACUUGAUUCCUAGUUCAUGGCCAUUUGGGAAUGAUUAGGAGACACUGCUUCGCUAGACAAAAGAUAUCUUAGGAAUAGCUUUCUAUAUGUAGCAGAGAAUAGCCUUGUUAGGGACCAGUGGAAGGGGAUGGCCUUGGUCCUCCCAAGGUUGGACUCCCAGUUCAGGGAUUAUGGGGAAGGCAUUAAAGGGGAUGGAUGGGGGGAAUACCCAUAUGGAGGAGGAGGAGGGGAUGGAGCCUUAUAGACAGGAAACAGAGAAAGGGAAUAACAUUUGAAAUGUAAGUAACAAGAUAUUUCUAAUUAAACAAAGAAAAGAAAGAAACCAAAAAAAAUAUAUCUCAUGAUAUUUCAAAUAGUUCUCCCUGUUUCCUCUCUGGGCUAAAGCUUUACUUCAGGAAACCUUUGCUUGCCACUCAAGAUUAAAAUCAGAAAUACAUUUUUGCUGCUACAAUUCUAAUUUUAUUGGUACAUUUUUGUUGUUGUUAAUAAAGGAUGUCAAAUGUAACUCUGCAAAUAAAGUCAAUUCAAACUCUGCCUAUGCCUAUCCAGUGUUAGAUUUAAAGUCAUAUGUAAAAAUGACUGAUCUUUCACAAAAAUUUUAACUGCAAAUGCCAUUAAUAACCAAAGGCAGAUGCAUAUUUAAAAUGAAAUAAAUAGCAUUCAAGGUAUAAUGACUCACAUUUUUAAUUAUAUCAUUCAAGAGAUAGAAGCAAAGGAUUACUAAAAGACUGAGGCCAGCCAGCCCUAUAGGAUGAGGCUCUCACAAUUUCCAUAAUAAAAACAAGGUAUAAACAAAAGAAGAAAUUAUGUAGAUGAUGGAGGAGGAGGAGGAGGAGGAGAAAAAGAAGAAGACAAGAAAGAAGGAGUAGGAGAGGAAAAGAAGGACACCAAUAAUCAGAGACAGUGAAAAGCUAGAGAAUAUGAGUAAAUUUAUUAACACAUGUAAAUUAGAGUUCUGUGUUAUAGAAAGGAGUGGUUUUAGGAAAGCUGAAACUAUACAAAUUAAACUUCUGUCAUGAAAAAAGACCAAAAAAAUACAUAUGUACACAAUCCUUUAUAUUCCCAGAUGGUGUAGCCUGUAUCCUUUGGGUUGAUUUUAAGAUAUAUUAAUUCCACGAUGAUACAACUCUUCUAACUGCGCAUGUUAAUUAUCCAUUGAAUUGAUGCUGUAUCCGUGUUCUUCAUGAUACGGACAUGGUAAGCUGUACACAGAAAUUAAUACAAGUUUCUCAGAUAACAUUAUCAAUGCAAAAAUUAGAAGAAGAUCUCAGAUUACAAUAGCAUGAUUUAAUCCAUAGAACAUCAUAGCAAAUAGUACUGUACUCAUAUCAUAGAACUUUUUAUUCUUAGAUACUAUUGAAAUGGUUGUUGUCUCUUUCAACUUGAUGUGAUCUAGAAUCACCUGAGAAGGAAGUCAUCCUUGAGCAGGGUUAAAAUAAUUAAUUUAAUUGAACUAGGAGGACCUGUCCUUGUGGAUAGGAUCAGUCUGAGUAUCCUUACUACUGGCCUCUUCCCUAAUAAAUAGGCUUUCUGGAUUUCAAGCAAUAAUGCUACAAACCAAAGCCCAAAGACUGAUGAUUUUACAAAUAUAUCCACAAUUAGUAAUUAAUUAUAGAUUAAAAUGUAAUUUAUUUUAAAACACAGGGAUUUUUUAGGUAUUUACAGUGUCUUAACCCCACUUUGAUACACAGGAUAUAGAGAGCUGCACAUUUGGGAUUCUUUUCUUUUGUUUAGCUUAACCUAUAUCAUCUUGACUUCUGUCUUUAUUUUAUAAAAUAUGGAAGACAGGGCAGCCAAGAUAUAAAAACCAUUAACAUUAACCUGCUAGGUGCAGCUUAAGAAAAAAAAAAAACCACUCUCCAAUCUAUUCUACACAGUGUCAUCCUGCCCAGAAAGAGCUAUUGAUGAAAACAUUGUCUAUAAAAAUAAUAAAGCAAACAAUGACUUCAUGAAAUUCUUAUCCAAAUGGAUGGAACUAGAAAAUAUCAUCCAGAGUGAGGGAACCCAAUCACAAAAGGGCUGACAUGAUAAGUGGAUAUUAGCCCAAAAGUUUGGAAUAUUCAAGAUACAAUUCACAGACCAUAUUAACCUCAAGAAGAAGGAAGACCAAAUGUGGUUGUUUAGUACUUCUUAGAAGGGAGAACAAAAAACUCAAAGGAGGAAAUACAGGGACAAAUAGUGAAGCAGAGACUAAAGGAAAGGCCAGCCAGAGACAGAUGCACCUGGGGAUCUGUCACAUAUGCAGCCACCAAAUCCAGUCACUAUUGCUGAUCCAAGAAAUGUUUGCUGAGGGGAGCCUGAUAUGGAUGUUUCCUGAGAGGCUUUGUCAGAACCUUACUAAUACAGAUUAAGAUGCUUACUGCUUACCAUCAGACUGAGCACUAGGGCCUCAAAGAAGAAAUCGGAGAAAGGACUGAAGGAGCUGAAGGGGUGUGCAACCCCAUAGGAAGAACUACAAUAUCAACCCACAGGACCACCCAGUGCUCCCAGGUACUAAACCACCAACCAAAGAGUAUACAUGGGGGAACUCACUGCUCCAGCUGCAUAUGUAGCAUAGGACGGCAUUGUCUGGAAACAAUAAGAAAAGCCCUUGGUCCUGUGAAGGCUCUUUUCUCCACUCUACAGGAAUGCAAGUGUGCUGAGGAAAAAUGGGAUGAUGGGAGCGGCAGCAUCCUCAUAAAAGCAGGGGUAGGAGGGAUGGGAGAGAGGGGAACCUGGAAAGUGGAUAACAUUUGAAAUGUAAAUACAUAAAAUACUCAAUAAAUAUGCAAUAAAAUGUAACCCUGACCAGGACAGACCCCAAAGUGCAAAAUCCGUAGAGAAAAUACUCUGAAAUAAAGAAGCAAAAAUAGUUUAAAUGGAAAAGAUGAAAGGUUUAAAUGUAAUAAGGAAAACAAAAGUGCCUUUUGUGAGCAUUGAGGUUGAUGAUACAACAGAUGAUGUAAUAAUAAUAAUAAAUCAGUAUGUCUAAUUGAGGACUUGCUGCCAGGCAUCUUGGGACAAUUCUGUCAAAUACAACACAUAGAAUUGUGAUUUCACUGGCUUUUUCUUCAUAGGAAUCAUUAUUUGAAAGGUAGCUUUCAAAUGAUUUCAGAAGUAUGUUUUCAUCAAGCUUUAAACUUUGCCAGCAAUGGAAGAAGAUUCUGAGGGAAUGAUCUGUCAUAGCACUGCCUGUUUAACGGUGAUUACCACCAUUUCUCAGUAUGCCAUGUGUUGAUACAUUACCAUACUUAUCUCCUCAGUCCUACAUUGAAGCAAAUUUAGACACAAUGAUAGCUUCUGAAAGUUCUGCCAUGGAAUAGGAAGCUGAGUACUUCCACAUGCAUUAAAAACUAUCCUUUUAUUUUUGCAAAAGUUUUCCUUCCAUGAUUUUAUAGUGCACAGUGCACAUUGUCCAAAUUCAAAGCACAUUUAGUAAUUCUGCAUUUAUUUCCCUAUCCCAUGUAUGCAUGUAAAGGCUAUUAUUGAAUCAAUAUAUUUACAUUCAUUGGAAAAUAAUUGAAGUAUGAACAUUUAAAUCAGCAGCUACUUUAUAUUUUUGUUUGUUCUUUCAUUUAUAUAUUUAGCAGACAUCUAAAUAGCCAAUGAUUAAAGUUGCAUAGAAGAUCCUGAGUGAUGUUUCUGCUUUUAAAAGCAAGUACCGCAAAAGGAUUUCCCAGAACUCAUGUCAGGAAUUGCAAAACUACAUGCAACUGUUGAUCUGGAGACAUAUACAGCAUUUGGCACCUAUGUACCUCUGCACACCUGUACACAUACAGAGAAAGAGAGAGAGAGAGAGAGAGAGAGAGAGAGAGAGAGAGAGAGAGAGAGAGAGAGAGAGAAGAAAACUGAGACCAAGACAGAGACAGAGACAGAGAACAGACAGACAGAGACUGAGUGAUAGAGAAAAAGAUGGAGACAGACAGAGAAAUAUACACACAUGACCAAAUAUAAUAAAAUCUAGCUAAAAAAUGGUGUCACAUGACAUUUUUUCUUGCACUUAUGAACCAGAAGCUAGUCAAUAUCUGAGUUCAAAGCCAGCCCAGUCCACGAAGUGAGUUCCCAGUCCAGCAAAUUCUAACCAGUAAGACCUUGAUAAAAAAACAAACAAGCAAACAAUCAAAUAUACAAAGAUCACCUAGCAACAUUUUUAAACAUAAAGGUUAAGUUCAUCACUGAAUGAUAAGCCAAUGCUUUCAUUAAACAACGAAUAUUAUUUUCAUGGUAAGAGUUUCAUUUACAUGAGCACUUAGGAAAUUUUAAAAAUACACCUGAUCAAGUAAAACUGAUUAAUGAAGAACAUAUUUAAGGCAUCAUCUUUUAUUUCUACAUGAUUUCUUCUGAUAUUACAAGCAUCUAGUACUUUUGUACAUUCUCUAAUUUGAGUCACAUUUUUCUAAGGUCCCUUUCUUUCCUUUGUGUAGGGAUCUGAAAGCAAAUACAAAUCAAUAUUAUGAAGUCACCAUUGCCCAGUAAGCACCUUGAAUUCAUCCCUGGACAAUUUAUACAGGAGUUUACAAAGACCCUUCUCUUUCAUACUAACAAUAUGACAGCUUAAAGCUCAUGGCUGCCUGCCUCAUGUCAUUAGCUUUAGAAAAGAUUUUGAAUCUCUGUAACCUAGCAACCAUGCACACAUGCGUGAUUGUAGGGCUAUUCUAGCUCACUAGCACAGACUGGGGGUUGGGAGUGUGUUAGUUAUGUCAGCACACCAGAACCUGCUGAGAGAAGAGGCAACCAAAGAUUCCUUUCACAUACACCUUAGGAAUGAUCAGCAAAGGCAGUGCAGCAAACAAGUUCAGCUCCCUCAUAGUCCCAUAAUUUGUUUCAUAGAUAGACAUGAUUUUUACACAUUGAGUGUUGCAAAUUUGUCCGGAUUAGAACAUUGUGCUAUCCAUCUCAAGUCUUUGGCUGUAGAAAAUCAGAUCGCAUCAGGACCUGUCUUCUUUUGUCCUGUCUUGUGCUGUGUAGGCUACAGUGCCCCUCCCCUUGAGCUUUCAUUCUAUCCUGCCACAGUUCAGUUCUCCUACAGCGUAAAUAUUAACAGAUCAAAGAGCUGAUUACUCAUGUGUGGGAGUAAGGACAGACAGAAAAAAAAGAACAUUUAUAUUGGUAUACAAAUGUUGCAUAAGAACAAUAUUUCUAAGGGAAUUUAAAUUAGGUUCUGCCUUGCCUUGCUGGAUGUGAGGGGAUAAAAGCACUUGAGGGCUUUCUGAACUUUUGUGUUAAACUCCACUUAUCAGUAAGUACAUAUUGUAUGUGUUUUUUGUGUCUGAAUUACCUCACUCAGAAUGAUGUUUUCUAGUUCCACCUAUUUGCCUGCAAAUUUCAUGAAGUCAAUAUUUUUUAAUAACUGAGUAGUAUUCCAUUGUGUAAAUGUACCUCAUUUUCUCUUUUUUUUAACAUUUUUAUUGGAUGUUUUUGAAUUACAUUUUAAAUGAUAUCUGCUUUUGUGGAUUUCCUAUCCAUAAGUCCCCUACAUUAUCCCUCAUUCUUCUAUGUAGGUGUUCCCCCUCCCAUCCACUCACCCCUUACUGUCUCCCCAUCAGACAUUCCCUGCAAUGGGGUGUCCAGCCUAUGUGGUUCCAAGCACUUUUCCUCCCAUUAGUGCAUAACCUGGCCCUUCUCUGCUAAUGAUAAGGCUGGAGCAAUGGGUCAAUCCAUGUGUACUCUUUGAAUGGUGGUUUACUCCCUAGGAGCUCUGGUUGGUUGGUAUUGUUGUUCUUAUGCAGUGGCAAAUCCCUUCAGCUCCUUCAUCCUUUCUCUAACUCCUCCAAUGGGGAACCAGUUCUCAGUUCAAUGUGAGCAUUCGCCUCUAAAUUUGUCAUGCUGUGGCAGAGACUCUUACAAGACAGCUGUAUCAGGCUCUUGUCAGCAUGCACUUCUUAGAAUAAGCAGUUUUGUCUGGAUUUUGUUUUGUAUAUGGGCUGGAUCACCAGGUAGGGCAGGCUCUGAAUGGCCAUUUCUUCUAUCUACCAUCAUUUGUUAAAAAUGCUAUCCUUUUCCACUGGAUGUUUUUAGUUCCUUCAUCAAAGAUCAAGUAACCAUAGGUGUGUUGGUACAUUUCUGGGUCUUCAAUUCUAUUCCAUUGAUCUAUUUGCCUGUCUCUGUACCAAUUCCAUACAGAUUUUUGUCACUAUUGGUCUUUAAAACAUCUUGAGAUCAGGGAUGGUGAUUCCCCCAGAAGUUUUUUGUUUGUUCUUUUUUUGUUUUUUGUUUUUGUUUGUUUGUUUGUUUGUUUUUUUGUUUUUUUUGUUCUUUUUUUGUUUUUUUUAUGUUUGAGGAUAGUUUUUGCUAUCCUGGGAUUUUUAUUUUUCCAAAUGAAUUUGCAAAUUGCUCUUUCUAACUCUUCGAAGAAUUCAUUUGGAAACUUCUUGGGAUUGCAUUGAAUCUACACAUUGCUUUUGGCAAGAUGGCCAUUUUUACAAUAUUAUUCCUGCCAAUCCAAGUGCAUGUGAGAUCUUUCCAUCUUCUGGGAUCUUCAUUGAUUUCUUUCUUCAUAAUCUGGAAGUUCUUCCCAUAAAGGUCUUUCACUUGCUUGGUUAGAGUCACACCAAGGUAUUUUAUAUUAUUUCUGAAAAUGUAAAAUGUGUCAUAUCCCUAAUUUCUUUCUCAGUCCAUUUAUUCUUUGAGUAAAGGAAGGCUACUGAUUUGUUUGAGUUAAUUUUAUUCCAGCCACUUUGCUGAAGUUGGAUAUCAGGGUUUCUUGUUCUCUUGUGGAACUUUUGGGUCACUUAAGUAUACUAUCAUAGCAUCAGAAAAUUGUGAUAUUUUGAUUCAUCCUUUCCAAUAUGUAUCCAUUUGACCUCCUUUUGUUGUAAUUGUGUAAUUGUGUAAUAGUGGCUUCAUAGAAGGAAUAGGGCAACAUUCCUUCUGUUUCUCUUUUGUGGACUAGUUUAGACAGUAGGUAUUGUGUUGUCUAUGAAGCUCUGAUAGAAUUCUGCACUACACCCACCUGGUCCUGGACUUUUUUUAGUUGGGAGACUUUUAAUAACUGCUUGUAUUUCUUUAGGAGUUAUGGGACAGUUUCAAUGGUUUAUUUGGUCCUGAUUUUACUUUGAUACCUCAUAUAUGUCUAGAAAAUUGUCCAUAUCCUCCAGAUUUUCAAUUCAUGUUGAAUAUACC